AGUGAACGCUGGCGGUAGGCCUAACACAUGCGAGUCGAACGGCAGCACAGUAAGAGCUUGCUCUUACGGGUGGCGAGUGGCGGACGGGUGAGGAAUACAUCGGAAUCUACUUUUUCGUGGGGGAUAACGUAGGGAAACUUACGCUAAUACCGCAUACGACCUACGGGUGAAAGCAGGGAAUCUUCGGACCUUGCGCGAUUGAAUGAGCCGAUGUCGGAUUAGCUAGUUGGCGGGGUAAAGGCCCACCAAGGCGACGAGCCGUAGCUGGUCUGAGAGGAUGAUCAGCCACACUGGAACUGAGACACGGUCCAGACUCCUACGGGAGGCAGCAGUGGGGAAUAUUGGACAAUGGGCGCAAGCCUGAUCCAGCCAUACCGCGUGGGUGAAGAAGGCCUUCGGGUUUUAAAGCCCUUUUGUUGGGAAAGAAAAGCAGCAGGUUAAUACCCCGCUGUUCUGACGGUACCCAAAGAAUAAGCACCGGCUAACUUCGUG
rnacentral:rRNA from 1 species